CAGAACAUAAAAUGCAAAUAUUUCAGAAAAACAUUGUACAAUUUUGCUAAAUUUUAAAUAAUUGCUUAAUUGAUUAUUAGUUAAGUAAAGAGCAACAGCCACACAGAGCUAUGUACAUAUGCAUGUAAGAAUGUCCACAAUCGAAGUCAAUUUCGCUAGCCAGCCCGAAACUUAGCCCAGCAACAACCAACAAUCAAGACAAACGACUCGACAAUGAAGAAAAUAGACAUGGUUUAUGAGCACUGCUAUGUCUGAGAUUCGCAGUCCCAGUGGCUUCGUUUGUCCCAUUUCUUUGCACAUAGUUUCCUAUGCCAUCGAUAUCUUGCACAAGCAUCUAGGCUAUCAGGACAGACGAAAAACGCAUUACGGGGUUUCAUGCGCACUGUUGGUGUUUGGCAAGUGAUUUGUUGUUGCUUUCUAUGCACUUACGGCAGAGAUAUUGAGCUAGGCGACGACGCCUAUAUGCUUGCUGCGUUUUCAGAUUAGGCAUAUAACCAAGCAUUGUUGGAAAUGUCAUUUAUGUACAUGUUGGACAUGAGCCAAAGGCUUUCAUCAGAACUAUCGUCGGAUUCAACGACACCAACAAGGGAUAGCAGCUGUUGCUUGUCAAUAGUAAUGAGCGCGAAGCGGGACAGGGAUCAUCCAUAAACAGCGAAGUUGAUCAGUUUGUUGCUGAAAUCGCCGCUGUAGAAAUGCCUGUAAUGAUGCAUA